rnacentral:lncRNA from 1 species
AUUUAUGUAACCAUUCAUCCCUUGAAGAACAUCUGGGUUGUUUCCAGUGGGCAAUUAUAAACAGAGCCUCUAUCAACAUUCCUGUACCAGUUUUAGAAUGAACAUAAAUUUAUAUUUCUCUAAGUACUCAGGAGUAGAAUUGACGUUCUGUCAUAUGGAUAGCCACUGAGCAAGCCUGUAAGGCUAUUGGUCUGCCCAUUCUGGUUUCUUCACCAAUGAGAAAACUGGGACCUGGGGAGUUUGCAGAAGCCAUCCAAGGGCACCUGCUUCUCACAGCACAGCAGCUUCCUGCAGCCCUCCCUCCUGUCUUGUUUCUCCCUUAAUUGAGAGGAGAGGCCAGAACCAGAUGCAGGCAGUUCCAACAGUAAUGAAUUGCUCUAAGGUGUGGAUCCAAGAACCGGUGACAAGGUCAGGAAAUUCCAUCCCGGGACACUGACCCAACUAAGAGACUGUGCAUGAUGGCUAAGUUCAGAGCUCUGAGGAGAUGGUAAAACUCAUUUGCAACGAAACAAGAUAUUUUCCAACUCUGCAGCCAGGUGCAGAAAGCUGGAAGUGAUGCUCCAGGGAGUUUAUGUCUCCCCAUCUUGACCCACACCAAUACCUGAGGCUCGUUGCUUUGAUUCAAGUCCGGACAAGCUCUAAGGUUCAGCUCACACUGGGAGUCACGCUGCAGGAGCUCCUGGGAGUCUGUGAACGGUGGUGAUGCAGAAAAGCAAAGCGUGUAUAUCUGUUUUAGUCCUCCCUCAGA